GAGUUUGAUCCUGGCUCAGGACGAACGCUGGCGGCGUGCCUAAUACAUGCAAGUGGAACGCACAAGGUGCACCGUAUUUUACUACACCGUACUUUGUGAGUCGCGAACGGGUGAGUAACGCGUAGGUAACCUACCUUUUAGCGGGGGAUAACUAUUGGAAACGAUAACUAAUACCGCAUAAGAUAUCUUACUGCAUGGUAAGAUAUUAAAAGAUGCAAUUGCAUCACUAAGAGAUGGACCUGCGUUGUAUUAGCUAGUAGGUGAGGUAACGGCUCACCUAGGCAACGAUACAUAGCCGACCUGAGAGGGUGAUCGGCCACACUGGGACUGAGACACGGCCCAGACUCCUACGGGAGGCAGCAGUAGGGAAUCUUCGGCAAUGGGGGGAACCCUGACCGAGCAACGCCGCGUGAGUGAAGAAGGUUUUCGGAUCGUAAAGCUCUGUUGUAAGAGAAGAACGAGUGUGAGAGUGGAAAGUUCACACUGUGACGGUAACUUACCAGAAAGGGACGGCUAACUACGUGCCAGCAGCCGCGGUAAUACGUAGGUCCCGAGCGUUGUCCGGAUUUAUUGGGCGUAAAGCGAGCGCAGGCGGUUAGAUAAGUCUGAAGUUAAAGGCUGUGGCUUAACCAUAGUACGCUUUGGAAACUGUUUAACUUGAGUGCAGAAGGGGAGAGUGGAAUUCCAUGUGUAGCGGUGAAAUGCGUAGAUAUAUGGAGGAACACCGGUGGCGAAAGCGGCUCUCUGGUCUGUAACUGACGCUGAGGCUCGAAAGCGUGGGAGCAAACAGGAUUAGAUACCC
rnacentral:rRNA from 1 species